rnacentral:rRNA from 1 species
CCCUUAGAUGUCCUGGGCCGCACGCGCGUUACACUGAUGCGUUCAACGAGCUUAUAACCUUGGCCGAGAGGCCUGGGCAAUCUUGUUAACGUGCAUCGUGAUAGGGAUAGAUUAUUGAAAUUAUUAAUCUUGAACGAGGAAUUCCUAGUAAACGCAGAUCAUCAAUCUGCAUUGAUUACGUCCCUGCCCUUUGUACACACCGCCCGUCGCACCUACCGAUUGGAUGGUCCGGUGAAGCCUCGGGAUUGUGGUUCUUGCCGCUUUAUUGUGGCGUGACCGCGAGAACUUGUCUAAACCUUAUCAUCUAGAGGAAGGUGAAGUCGUAACA